AACUAGGUAGCUCAGAUGGAAGAGCAACUCAACAAAGUUGAGGAGGUUCCAGGUUCAAAUCCUGGCCUAGUAU
rnacentral:tRNA from 1 species